CCCUUAGAUGUUCUGGGCCGCACGCGCGCUACACUGAUUCAUUCAUCAAGUCUAUAACCUUGGUAGAAAUGCUUGGGUAAUCUUUGAAACUGAAUCGUGCUGGGGAUUGGAGCUUGUAAUUAUUCUCCAUGAACGAGGAAUUCCUAGUAAACGCGAGUCAUCAGCUCGCAUUGAUUACGUCCCUGCCCUUUGUACACACCGCCCGUCGCUACUACCGAUUGAAUGGCUUAGUGAGCUCUCUGGACUGUUGCACUUCGGGGGCAACCCUGUUGAGCAUACGGGAAGGAGAUCAAACUUGAUCAUUUAGAGGAAGUAAAAGUCGUAACA
rnacentral:rRNA from 1 species